rnacentral:lncRNA from 1 species
GUCGGGGCCGAGCCGAUGUUCCCGAGGUGUUUCCGGGCCCUUUGGAAAUGGAAGUGUUUUUCUGAGCGCUGCUUUCCCGUCGUUAUUCCCCUGCCACGGGAACGUUCCGAGCGGGAGCGCUGGCUGGGCGGGGUUGCCGUGGAAACGCGGCGGAUGCGGGGAUGCUCCGGGAAAGGAUUUUGUGCGGGGUGUGCGGGUUUGGGGCACGGCAGGACAUUUCAUCAGCUCUGUGUCCUGUCCAUCUAUCCUGCGUCUGUCCAUCCCCCCUGUGUCCUGUCCAUCCUCUCUGUCCUGUCCAUCAUCUCUGUGUCGUGUCCUUCAUCUCUGUGUCCUCUCCAUCAGCUCAGUGUCUUGUCCAUCCCCUCUGCGUCCUGUCCUUCAUCUCUGUGUCCUCUCCAUCAGCUCAGUGCCCUAUCCAUCAGCUCUGUGUCCUGUCCAUCCCUGUGUCCUGUCCUUCAUCUCUGUGUCCUGUCCAUCAGCUCUGUGUCCUGUCCAUCCCUGUGUCCUGUCCUUCAUCUCUGUGUCCUGUCCAUCAUCCCUGUUUCCUGUCCAUCUGUCCUAUGUCCUGUCCAUCAUCCCUGUGUCCUGUCCUUCAUCCCUGUGUCCUGUCCUUCAUCUCUGUGUCCUGUCCUUCAUCUCUGUGUCCUCUCCAUCAUCCCUGUGUCCUGCCCAUCAUCUCUGUGUCCUGUCCAUCAGCUCUGUGUCCUGUCCAUCCCUGUGUCCUGUCCUUCAUCUCUGUGUCCUGUCCAUCAGCUCUGUGUCCUGUCCAUCCCCCGUGUCCUGUCCUUCAUCUCUGUGUCCUCUCCAUCAUCCCUGUGUCCUGCCCAUCAUCUCUGUGUCCUGUCCAUCCUCUCUGUGUCCUGUCCAUCUAUCCUGUGUCCUGUCCAUCAUCUCUGUGUCCUGUCCAUCAGCUCAGUGUCCUGUCCAUGGUCUCUUUGUCCUGUCCAUCAGCUCAGUGUCCUGUCCAUGGUCUCUUUGUCCUGUCCAUCAUCCCUGUGUCCUGUCCAUCAUCCCUGUGUCCUGUCCUUCAUCUCUAUGUCCUGUCUAUCCUCUCUGUGUCCUGUCCAUCAGCUCAGUGUCCUGUCCAUCAUCUCUGUGUCCUGUCCAUCCUCUCUGUGUCCUGUCCAUCUAUCCUGUGUCCUGUCCAUCAUCUCUGUGUCCUGUCCAUCCUCUCUGUGUCCUGUCCAUCUAUCCUGUGUCCUGUCCAUCAUCUCUGUGUCCUGUCCAUCCUCUCUGUGUCCUGUCCAUCUAUCCUGUGUCCUGUCCAUCAUCUCUGUGUCCUGUCCAUCAGCUCAGUGUCCUGUCCAUCAUCCCUGUGUCUCUGCAUCCAGAGUCCCAGACUGGGAUGGGUUGGGAGGGACCUCAAAUCCCACCCAGUGCCACCCCCCACUGUCCCAUCCUGGCCUUGGACACUCCCAGGGAUGCAGGGGCAGCCACCGCUGCUCUGGGAAUUUCAUCCCAGCCCAACCUCACCCUCCAGGGAACAAUUCCUUCCCAACAUCCCAUCCAUCCCUGCCCUCUGGCAGUGGGGAUUCUCUCCCUUUAGUCCUAAGGCUGAAAUGCCACCGUGCCCAGGGAUGUCACAGCUCAGUCCCUCACAGGAUCCUCCAGGACUCUCCUCAAGCUCUCCCUGAGCUGAAGAAUUGUUCCUUUCUCACCAAUAAACAGCAAGGUGCAGGAAAAUCCAUCCAGGAGUUCAU